rnacentral:rRNA from 1 species
UUAAAUUGAAGAGUUUGAUCAUGGCUCAGAUUGAACGCUGGCGGCAGGCCUAACACAUGCAAGUCGAACGGUAACAGGAAGCAGCUUGCUGCUUUGCUGACGAGUGGCGGACGGGUGAGUAAUGUCUGGGAAACUGCCUGAUGGAGGGGGAUAACUACUGGAAACGGUGGCUAAUACCGCAUAACGUCGCAAGACCAAAGAGGGGGACCUUCGGGCCUCUUGCCAUCAGAUGUGCCCAGAUGGGAUUAGCUUGUUGGUGAGGUAACGGCUCACCAAGGCGACGAUCCCUAGCUGGUCUGAGAGGAUGACCAGCCACACUGGAACUGAGACACGGUCCAGACUCCUACGGGAGGCAGCAGUGGGGAAUAUUGCACAAUGGGCGCAAGCCUGAUGCAGCCAUGCCGCGUGUAUGAAGAAGGCCUUCGGGUUGUAAAGUACUUUCAGCGGGGAGGAAGGUGUUGUGGUUAAUAACCACAGCAAUUGACGUUACCCGCAGAAGAAGCACCGGCUAACUCCGUGCCAGCAGCCGCGGUAAUACGGAGGGUGCAAGCGUUAAUCGGAAUUACUGGGCGUAAAGCGCACGCAGGCGGUCUGUCAAGUCGGAUGUGAAAUCCCCGGGCUCAACCUGGGAACUGCAUUCGAAACUGGCAGGCUUGAGUCUUGUAGAGGGGGGUAGAAUUCCAGGUGUAGCGGUGAAAUGCGUAGAGAUCUGGAGGAAUACCGGUGGCGAAGGCGGCCCCCUGGACAAAGACUGACGCUCAGGUGCGAAAGCGUGGGGAGCAAACAGGAUUAGAUACCCUGGUAGUCCACGCCGUAAACGAUGUCUACUUGGAGGUUGUGCCCUUGAGGCGUGGCUUCCGGAGCUAACGCGUUAAGUAGACCGCCUGGGGAGUACGGCCGCAAGGUUAAAACUCAAAUGAAUUGACGGGGGCCCGCACAAGCGGUGGAGCAUGUGGUUUAAUUCGAUGCAACGCGAAGAACCUUACCUGGUCUUGACAUCCACGGAAGUUUUCAGAGAUGAGAAUGUGCCUUCGGGAACCGUGAGACAGGUGCUGCAUGGCUGUCGUCAGCUCGUGUUGUGAAAUGUUGGGUUAAGUCCCGCAACGAGCGCAACCCUUAUCCUUUGUUGCCAGCGGUUAGGCCGGGAACUCAAAGGAGACUGCCAGUGAUAAACUGGAGGAAGGUGGGGAUGACGUCAAGUCAUCAUGGCCCUUACGACCAGGGCUACACACGUGCUACAAUGGCGCAUACAAAGAGAAGCGACCUCGCGAGAGCAAGCGGACCUCAUAAAGUGCGUCGUAGUCCGGAUUGGAGUCUGCAACUCGACUCCAUGAAGUCGGAAUCGCUAGUAAUCGUGGAUCAGAAUGCCACGGUGAAUACGUUCCCGGGCCUUGUACACACCGCCCGUCACACCAUGGGAGUGGGUUGCAAAAGAAGUAGGUAGCUUAACCUUCGGGAGGGCGCUUACCACUUUGUGAUUCAUGACUGGGGUGAAGUCGUAACAAGGUAACCGUAGGGGAACCUGCGGUUGGAUCACCUCCUUACCUGAAAGAAGC